rnacentral:rRNA from 1 species
GUGUCAGCAGCCGCGGUAAUACGUAGGUGGCGAGCGUUGUCCGGAAUUACUGGGUGUAAAGGGCGUGUAGGCGGGAAGGUAAGUCAGAUGUGAAAUACCGGGGCUCAACUCCGGGGCUGCAUUUGAAACUAUCUUUCUUGAGUGCAGGAGAGGAAAGUGGAAUUCCUAGUGUAGCGGUGAAAUGCGUAGAUAUUAGGAGGAACACCAGUGGCGAAGGCGACUUUCUGGACUGUAACUGACGCUGAGGCGCGAAAGCAUGGGGAGCGAACAGGAUUAGAUACCCUGGUAGUCCAUGCCGUAAACGAUGGAUACUAGGUGUUGGGGGUAUCGACCCCCCAGUGCCGCAGCUAACGCAAUAAGUAUCCCACCUGGGGAGUACGGCCGCAAGGUUGAA